rnacentral:rRNA from 1 species
CAAUAGCGUAUAUUAAAGUUGUUGCGGUUAAAAAGCUCGUAGUUGGAUUUCUGCCGAGGACGUCCGGUCCGCCCUCUGGGUGUGUACAUGGUACGGCCUGGGCAUCUUCUUGGAAAACGUAUCUGCACUUGACUGUGUGGUGCGGUAUCCAGGACUUUUACUUUGAGGAAAUUAGAGUGUUUCAAGCAGGCCUACGCCUUGAAUACAUUAGCAUGGAAUAAUAAGAUAGGACCUCGGUUCUAUUUUGUUGGUUUCUAGAGCUGAGGUAAUGAUUAAUAGGGAUAGUUGGGGGCAUUCGUAUUUAACUGUCAGAGGUGAAAUUCUUGGAUUUGUUAAAGACGGGCUACUGCGAAAGCAUUUGCCAAGGAUGUUUUCAUUGA